rnacentral:rRNA from 1 species
UACGAAGGGGCUAGCGUUGCUCGGAAUCACUGGGCGUAAAGCGCACGUAGGCGGCUUUUAAGUCAGGGGUGAAAUCCUGGAGCUCAACUCCAGAACUGCCUUUGAUACUGAGAAGCUUGAGUCCGGGAGAGGUGAGUGGAACUGCGAGUGUAGAGGUGAAAUUCGUAGAUAUUCGCAAGAACACCAGUGGCGAAGGCGGCUCACUGGCCCGGUACUGACGCUGAGGUGCGAAAGCGUGGGAGCAACAGG